rnacentral:rRNA from 1 species
AUUGAACGCUGGCGGUAUGCUUAACACAUGCAAGUCGAACGGUAGCAGGCCUUCGGGCGCUGACGAGUGGCGGACGGGUGAGUAACGUGUAGGAAUCUGCCCUGUAGUGGGGGACAACGUGGGGAAACCCACGCUAAUACCGCAUACGCCCCAAGGGGGAAAGCGGGGGACCGCAAGGCCUCGCGCUAUAGGAUGAGCCUGCGUUGGAUUAGCUAGUUGGUAGGGUAAAGGCCUACCAAGGCGACGAUCCAUAGCUGGUCUGAGAGGACGAUCAGCCACACUGGGACUGAGACACGGCCCAGACUCCUACGGGAGGCAGCAGUGGGGAAUAUUGGACAAUGGGCGCAAGCCUGAUCCAGCAAUACCGCGUGUGUGAAGAAGGCCUGAGGGUUGUAAAGCACUUUCAAUGGGGAGGAACACCUUGGGGCGAAUACCCCCAAGACUGACAUUACCCAUACAAGAAGCACCGGCUAACUCCGUGCCAGCCGCCGC